CACACAGCAGCAUGAUCAGUUCCCAGUAUCUGUCCCUUUGCAGCAGCUGCUACCAGGAACACUUGAACAGGGAAAGGCUGAAGCCCACUUUGCAGCGAUCCAUGGGCAAGAGAGAACUGAGGAUUUUUAUCAAGAUUCUUUACUGUUGGAUUUGAUAGGAUCCUGUGGAUAGCUAAAAGCAGGAAGCGAAUCAAGAAUGACGAUUAAUAUGAGGGAAGACAGCAGUUGACGGUUUGCUGAGCUGUACAGUUCCUAGCCACCAAGGUACUUACAGACUAAUCUUUAAACAUAGAUGUGAAUCACAGAGAUUGACUCAAUAAUUAUUUGUAGUUUUCCUAAGCCUUAUUUAUAUACAAUCACCUCUUCAUUCCAGAUGCUCUACAAUUACAGAACAAAAAAAUAGUAUUUAGGGGCAGUCACAAUCUAAAUUAUUAAUUUCAAGAGGUUGGAAGGAUAAUUAGGUAAUGCUACUCUUUCACGUUGCUUGUUAGGCUAGAUUCUUCUGUAGCUUCCACCACUACAAAAUUAUGUUAAGUCUACCUCUUUCACAGUUAAUGUGCAAUAAUAUACAGAUUCUUCUUUUCCUGGUGACUAUAUUGUAUGUUUCUGUAGUUGCAGUACUAAAUUUUGCUUCUUCUAACAACUCUGUCCCAAUUUGUUUCAUUAUUAUUUCUUGUUAUAAACUUUCAUAGCAUUUUCACAAAUGAUUCAUUUUAGCCAGUAUCUACAAGACAGAAUAAAAGUUCAUUCAAAAGCAAAAAAUAAACUUUUCACAGAGCCACAGAAUUACAGAAUUGUAGGGGUUGGUGUAAGAGAUUAUUAUUUUAUAUGAUUGACUCAAAGUUUGCUGAGGAACAAGUCCAGGCAAGUCCUGGGCAAAGGCAGAGAAAUCUUCUGUCUGGAGGACACUGAUGGACAGGUCCUGGCUAAGGGUUGUGAAAUCCUUUAAGGAGCACAGAUGGACAAGUCCAGGGGCAACAACAGAGGGAUAAGGUGCUGGUAAUGGCCGGGAAACGAUAUUUUGUGUGGACUUGUCUCGAGGAAGAUGGCCAUCUCAGGAGGUGCACACAUGACUCUUGCUCAAGCGCUGAGGGAUGUCACAUAGGCAGGAAAAAAAGGAGGAUAAAAGAGGGUCCAACAACCAGGAGAAGAGAGGGGUUUUCUGCCAUCUGAUCUCUCACCACGACACACUGGAGAGGGUUUCUGCCAUCAGAUCCCUCACCACAACGGAGUCGAGGUUUCUGCCAUCAGAUCCUUCACUACGGACCGUAUGCUGACGGACUUCUCUGGGCCUGCUACCUGAGACCUGCUGCUUCCUCCCAGACUUACUCUGCAGCUUCUUCCUGGACCCACCCGGUACCUGCACCUUCUCGUUGCCCAAGACCAGCCUCGCUGCUCCUGCCGUUCGGCCUCGGACAGCCGGAACGUCGUGCAACGGGACUACUGCCGGAUCCUGGUGGUGACUAUCCCCGCUUUACGCAAUUCUUGCUUCUUUCUAUCUUUUCUAUCGCUCGCCUUCCCUUUCCCAUCACCCCAAUCCAUAAUAGUGUCCGUCCUCCCCUUUCUUCAUCUCCCUUAUUAACAUUUGUAAUAAAGUGGUCGGACCAACAUUUGAACCGUUGUUUCUUAAUCUCACGCCGGGCAUACAUAUUUCAAAGAACCUCCUCUCCCUCCUAUAAAUUGGAGCUAGACAGUUGGAAGGGACCUCAAGAGAUCCUCUGGUCCAACCCUGUUGCUAAAG
ensembl:lncRNA